rnacentral:rRNA from 1 species
AAGCGCUUGCAACCAGACUUGCACGCGGUUAAUCAUCCGGUGUUCUCACCGGUGCACUUGACCGCGUUCAGGCCAGCAUCGGUUCGGGUGGCAGGAUAAAGGCCUUGGGAAUGUAGCUUCUUUCGGGGAGUGUUAUAGCUUUUUACCGUAUACAGUGGUUGGGACUGAGGAACUCAGCACGCCGCAAGGCCGGGUUUUUAACCACGUUCGUGCUUAGGAUGCUGGCAUAAUGGCUUUAAUCGA